UCGAUAACUAACAAAAAUUGAGCAACUGAUGACAUCUCUUUUUUUUAAAGUUUUUAACAACACAAUAUACUGUAUCGCAUACUAAAUUAACUGGUUGUUACCAAACGUUGGAGUGAAGAAAUAUUUUCAGAUCUCCAAAAAAUUAUGCGUAGAUUCAAGGCCGCAUUCUUUCUAGUUCUCUUUUUUUUGUCUUCAUUUGUCCCUGAAAGCGAAAGUUACAUCGGCGUUGUGGACUCAGACAUCUACAACACAGUGACCAACUUUGCAAACGAGUGUGUUAAAUGGAGGCAUUUGAAAUCGGCUGCUUUGAACCAAUUCAGGCUCUGGAAAAAGCUAAAAAAGUUCAGGAAAAAGGUCAAAUUCGAGGAUGAAGUUUGCAUUCAAAUUAAAGAGAAGUAUUGCCCAUUGACCAGAGAAAGAUAAAUCGAAAGGCGACGGAAGCAGUCAAGAGGCUUUCACGUUAUAUUUAUAUACACUGCAUCUACGUUAUAUGUAUUUAAGGAAACUUCUUUCAGUGCUUUUACAGUGCAUGUCAUGGGCGUCACAACUGAGCUAUCCUUAUAAAACUCACUGAAAUCAAUGUAUACGUUUGUGGAUCUUCAAUGCGUAAAUAAACAAAUGCGGAAAACAGUAAACAUUGAAGUAUUUAAAUUAAUGGGUAAAAAGACGCCGUUUUAGCAUAAAUAUGGCAAUAAGCUAUGUCACAAUGUAGCGUUGUUCGUAAAUUCCAUAAAGAGGACAGAUAGAAAUGAAGAAAACUAUAUACGAAGUUUACCUUAUUUGAAAAGUGUCUCAUGUAAACUUCAGUCGAAAACGUUCGAGUGCAUUUUUUCUUAUCUGUAUUUAACAAGUAAAGAGGCCUUGACUGUGCUCUGUUCUGUUGCAAAGCAGGAAGAAAAUGGUAGAGCACGAAAGAUGUGUAGGGGGAAACACAAGAUUACGCUAAGUGUUUACCGUUUUGUCUGAAUCUAGUAAAACGUGUCAUGUUAGCACAGUUUUAACACUACUUUUGUAAACAAAUAGCUCCUUGUUAUUUCGUUUUCCUGAGACAUAGGGAACGUUUAAUUUGGGUACGCUGUUUCAACCAAUCCGAGCGCGCGUUAUAUCGAGCCACUAUUAUAAAAGUAUUUGGCGUAGUUUUGUUGUUUAUUGGUGCGAUUUAGAUGAUAGGAGUCUAAAUAACGUCGGGAAUUAUUUGUUUAGAGUGUAAACACAAACAGUUUUUACGAUUGGAGAGAAUUAGUUUUGCAGCUCACAAGAGAUUUCAUCGACAUGAUAAUGGAUCAUUUUAACAGCUAUGUCUACAUUUUAAAGGCCCAAGCAAAAGGUUUCCGGCGUGAUGAUUUAUGGAUCUUAGAAUCAAAAUGAAAGACGAGUGAACAAGUGGAAAUUUUUCGCUUUAGUUAGCACUUUUUAAGUUUUUUUUUUCUUUGCUUUGCAAUGUCACCCGCCUCAGGAAACGUUUACUUUCGUUUGUAAACAUUGCAAAAAAUGUGUUUCUCAGUUUGUUUGAAAGCAUUAUAAGUUGAUUCUUUUCGUAACCAGAGAAGGCUCUCACAGUCGGCUUGUGAAAGUCAAUCGAGAAGAUGCAUAGCAAGAAGUGGUGCCUUUUUGUCGUUACCUUGACGAUUUUCUUGGCAAUCAUGGACAGCGCUGAAUCAUACAUCGGUACUAUCUCAGGAGACGACAUUGAAAGAAGAGCGAAGCAGUCUGAAAGAGUACCACUACGUGGCAAUUCUGACACUUUCUCAAACAAGCAGAAGAGACUAAAAAUGAGAAAAAUGCCGGCCUCUGAUGAUUUUCUGGAAUAAAUAGACCGCUGCCCCACAGAUGUUGGUUUUCCAAGAGAUGGUGGACGAAGAAAUCAUAGUUGGAGUAUUGGAAUAUGUAUAUUAGCAAAUAAACCACUAAAGUCAAAUAAACUGUUAACAUAU